AUGUCGUCGCGCAAAGGAUUGGCUACCAGUCCAGGAAGUGCACCUUCGGGCAAUGGCAGAGAACGAGAAGAUGUGGAGCUGGCUGAACUUGGACCCCUUUUAGAGGAGAAGGGCGAUCCGGGAGCAGCUAAUUCGGCCACCGCUCAGUGCCAGCCAUGUCCCGCUGCCCAAGAGGAGGAGGAGGAGGAAGUAAGAGUCUUGACUCUCCCGCUGCAAGCUCACCAUGCCAUGGAGAAGAUGGAGGAGUUUGUCUACAAGGUUUGGGAAGGCCGGUGGAGGGUGAUCCCCUACGAUGUCCUGCCUGACUGGCUGAAGGACAACGACUACUUGCUGCAUGGCCAUCGGCCCCCCAUGCCUUCUUUCAGAGCCUGCUUCAAGAGCAUUUUCCGCAUCCACACCGAGACAGGCAACAUCUGGACGCAUUUACUAGGCUUCGUGCUCUUCCUCUGCCUCGGAGUCCUGACCAUGCUCCGGCCAAACAUGUACUUCCUGGCUCCUCUGCAGGAGAAGGUGGUCUUCGGCAUGUUCUUCCUGGGGGCCGUCCUGUGUCUCAGCUUCUCCUGGCUGUUCCACACUGUCUACUGUCACUCGGAAAAGGUGUCCCGGACUUUCUCCAAGUUGGACUACUCCGGAAUCGCCCUGCUGAUCAUGGGGAGUUUUGUGCCCUGGCUGUAUUACUCCUUCUACUGCUCUCCGCAGCCUCGACUGAUCUAUCUCUCCAUUGUCUGCGUCCUGGGCAUCUCCGCCAUCAUUGUGGCUCAGUGGGAUCGCUUUGCUACCCCGAAGCACAGGCAGACCCGAGCAGGGGUCUUCCUUGGCCUGGGUCUGAGCGGCGUGGUGCCCACCAUGCACUUCACUAUCGCCGAAGGGUUUGCGAAGGCCACCACCGUGGGCCAGAUGGGCUGGUUCUUCCUCAUGGCCGUGAUGUACAUAACCGGGGCUGGGCUCUACGCGGCCCGCAUCCCUGAACGGUUCUUUCCGGGCAAGUUUGACAUCUGGUUCCAGUCGCAUCAGAUCUUCCACGUCCUGGUGGUGGCAGCGGCUUUCAUCCAUUUCUACGGCGUCUCCAACCUGCAGGAAUUCCGAUAUGGACUAGAAGGCGGAUGCACGGAUGACUCCCUUCUCUAAGAGCCGCGGAAGACUGUAGCAAAAGCGCCCGAAGGGCUUUCCGGCAGACUUCUCUGCUAAAACCGAAAGAGAGCUUUUUUUAUUUAAAGGAAAAUGAAACUCGGAAACGUUGGCCCUGCCCGGUGUUUGGUGCCUUGCAAGGAAGGAGAGGGGGUCGACGGGCUCUAGAUGCCGCCCACGGCCCCCAGCGCCUCGGCAAGAUGGCCUGCAGCCCCUUGGAUUCCCCGUUUCCCCUUGGGAAGGUUGCGCUGGGGCAGCGAGCGCUCAGGAGAGGAAGCCCCGGGCUGCUCCACGGGCGUUUUGUCUUUGACAAAGUAACGUAUGGCUAAAAUGAGAGUAUUUAAUAUUUAAUAUGAAGCUUUAAAACAAGGUGCUCCCCCGCCAGCAUCUAGAUCCUGGAGCGCCAUCGAUGGACUGCAGGCCAGGUGUUGUGGAGCUGCUGUGACUUUCAGCGUGGAGAUCUGAAGUUCCCCUUCGUGGACAAUGAAAGCUCUCCACCCCGCUGCAGGUCUCCAUGUUGGUCUCUUCUUUUUAAAUUAAAGAAUUAAAGUCUACUGUAAAAAAAAAUACAAGCUUUAAGACCUCGUCCCGCAGCCUCCCCUUCCCCACUUGCUGCUGUGUUGACUUUUGGAGCUGAAGUCGAGCCUUUGGAGGCCAGGAGGGAGCCCCAGGAUGGGUACAGACGGAUUUAAAAGCUGGAAGAGGAUUUGGAGUAUUUAAACCGAGCUCAUAGAUAAAGUAGGUAUCACACAAGUGCCCAGCCCUAAACGUAAAAGAGAUACCAGCUACGACAGGUUGCAUUUAUUCUCAGCCACGAGAAGAAAUCUUCGACGCGUGAGUGAUAAUCUCAGGUCUUCAUUUAGCAACCAAGCAAAUAUUGCUGCUGACUUUUAAAAUUGCAGGCGGACCAGAUUCUUUGUGAGCGCACACGCGCACGUGUCGCCCGGUGUUGAAGGCCAAUUUCAUCUGGUGGGUUACCGGUACUUAACAGUAAACCAUCGAUCCUGUAUGGUAGGGAAAAAACAGGAACUUUUCGUAGCAUGCAGUAAAACACGAUGUGCAAGUAUUCCGUGAACACCCUGAUGGACACUAGCUGUGCAAGAGUGAAACGGAACCAGGUAGCCCAUUUGGAGGGACGUGGAAACCUUUGCAAAAGUUAAACUGAUUGAUGCAAAAAAACCCCACAAAACCCUAAAUCUUCUUUUAAAGGAGAAUGGGAUUUUAAGGUAACGGUUAGAGGGCUAAUAUAAGUAGUCAAACAAUGUAUGUAAUAAUUGAUGUGAUAGUAACAAAAAAACCUAAAAUGAUAGUUGGGACAAAAAUCUAUUAACAUCUCUUGUUGCAGGAACUAUUGCAGUUGGGAUAAUGAUAUAGAUUAUUAUGUAGAUGUAAAUGUUCAAAUAAGAACAGAUGUAUUCAGUAUAUUUCUUUGGGAGGGAGAAUAAUGAUGUAUUCAUAACAAUGAACAUUUUGUUCAGUUUGUAAAAUAGCCAAGAUUUUAAGAUAUUUCUCAGCAAUAAACAUUUUUAAAUU